rnacentral:lncRNA from 1 species
AGCUCCUGCUCGGCGCGCACACGCUCACACGCGAACGCAGGAAAGUCAGGCUAAAAGUGUCUGCUGCUGCCGCUGCCGCCCCCCACUCCGCCUCCGGGAGAGAUUGCGAAUUUCUCGGGGAUGGGGAGCAUCGCCAAUUCAUCUUUUGGAUCUGAUGCCCAGUAGAAUGCAUGGUGCAUGGUAGGCAUCAAAAUGUUUUUUAGAUAAGUGAAUAAUCUGCUUAGUGGGGCUUAUUGUACCUGAGAAAAAUCACUGUGUUUUUAAGGUGAAUUGGUAGGUAAAGUGUUAGAGCUUGAAAAGGACGGGAAAUAAUAUAAUAAAAUAACUGAUCUAAAAAUAGUGGUUUCUUGAUGACGAUCUGGAAUAACUUUAAUCUAUUAGUAAAGCUCCUGCUGUACCAGGGAAGAAUCUGCUCUUUGAAAAGUCAGUGUGUGUGUGUGUGUGCGCGUGUGCGUGCAUAUGCAUGCUCCUUCAUGUGUGUGGGUUUACCAGAGUUGGUGAGGGACAGAGAGAAGGCAAUGGGAAGGGAAUGAACAUUUGUGAGGGCCUGCCAUGUGUCAGGCCCUUGCUGAGCACAUUGCCUUGAAUGUGCUCUACCCUUCUUGAGGAUUUUUGCUGCAUCAGAGCUUGUUGAAACAUGCCCACUGAAAUGUUUAUCACACUUUGGCAGGUGGAGUAUGGAAACCAAUUACAAACUAUUUGUAAGACUGCAAAGUCAACUUCUGUUUUCUUGAGGCUGAGUAAUUUGCAGAGUUCUUUAUCACCCCUGUCUUAUCGAUGAGAACCAGCAAUAAAAGGUUGAGGUAAAUCAGGAAAAAUAUGUAUCCUUAUGGGAACUCACUUAACCUGCUCUAUUCUGAUAAAAAUAACAAUAGGUUAGCAUUUAUUGAACACUGUGGCUUUACUCACAUUAACUUGCACUCCCCACAGUUGUGUAAGGUAGGCACUGCUGUUGCCGCCAUUUUACAGGGGAGGAAAAUGAGGUACAGAGAGGAAAUGUAACAUGCUCCAGUUGUAGAUUUAGGAAGCAGUGGAUCCAGGAUUCUGAACAAAGUCCUUAAGCACCCGCCACUCUGCAUUGCAAGAGGAUCUGCUCUUGCAAUAUGUCUCUUCAAAUAUCAGCAGCAAAGGUAAGAGGAGACCUUAUAUUCUUGCCAGUUCCAUGUUGGGGGCUCUUCGUUUGAGCUUCAAUUGAUGGGAGAGGAAGAUCAUUGUCUCCUUGAGGGUGGCUUGCAGCCAUGGUGCCAGGGGCAAGGUGUGCUCUCCCUGUUGUGAUCAUGAAGAGUGAAGGUGAUUGUUCCAAUCCAGGAGGAGGCUGGCUUACAGCAAUGUAGGUAUCUGUAGGAUUCCUCUCUUUACCAUUUCUUUCUUUCUUUUUUUUAAGGUGGAAAAUAUGGUUAUUUAGCUCUGGUUGGAUCAAUCUGUUAAAUAUAUAUAUAUAUACAUUCACACACAUAUAUACAUAAUAUCUGGAGAUUCUAUGGUGAUUAUGAGCACAAAAUUACCCAGCAAUUGGAAACCUUUAAUCAUGCACUUUGAACAUUCUAGCCAAAAAUUUUUUUUGUGGCCUAAAAAACAUCAUAGGUGGAAGGAAAUGUCUGCUGUGUUUUUCCUGAGAGCUUCGGAAUCCAAUAUGCUUCAUCUACACAGUCAUUUUACAUGCAUUGGGCACACUUAAAAAUUUGGCUUGUCGCUGAAUUUUCCACUCAGAACAUUCCACGUAAGUAGAAAUAAAAGUUAACCUCUGUAAAAGCCACUGGUUAAAUCCAUCUAUAGAAGUUGGCAGCCAAAUGUAGAAAAACCACUGUACAGGCUAGAUUGUUUUUUCCUCCUGUUGUCUCUGAAGAUAUAUCUUGAGCACAAAAUAUAUUUUAUUUUUAGGAAGGAUUUGUUUACACCGUAUGGUGCCAAUGUGCUAAGGUUUAUUUGUGUCAUGGCUACUUACAAUACAGAUACUGUGGGACUUUAUCUAUACUGUAAGAACAAUACAUUUGAAGAAAAUGAGCGCACCCUGGGUGACAACUCUCCAUUAAGAUAAGCAUGCAUUAAAUCUCCUUCUAUGAAGAAUCCUCUCUCUCCUAAUGGAAGACAGUGUUGGAGACUAGCAUUGUGUGACCAUGGCAGACUUGUUUGCUGGUCUCUGUAGGGAGGUUCAUUUGCAGAUCACCCAAUAUAGAGGCUUAAUCUUGGGAAGAGGAAAAAAUGCUUUUUGAAAAACACUGGAGGAAUUGGUGUUUUCAGCCUGAUCAUAAUUCAUUGAAAUCACAAAGGGUUCUGUAUGAACCAUGUUCUUUAAAUUAAUGGAUAGUGAGAAGUCUUUCUUCACCCUUGCGAAUCCUUGUAGAAGACAUUUGCAGAGAAAUUACUGGAGCUGCUCCCCUGUGGGGAGAUUAAUGAUUUAAUAUGCAAAAGCAGACAACUCACAGUUCCUUUGCUGAAUGGCACUCUGAGCUGCACAGUCUUACAGCUUUAUUUUCACCUUAUAGCUUCUCUUCCUAAAAACUUUUGUAGAGUCAGAUAGAGUCACUAAUGCAAAACCAUAUCCUUGGUCUAGACUUGAAGACUCUGCCACAUGGAACCACCAAGCAAUUUGUGACCUAGAUCUGGUGGAAUAAAUAUCUAUGUGAAGGCAUUGAGAUUUUCCUGCUUAUCCAUGUGAAUUUUUGCUUGAUUUACCAGCAUCCAAUUUAGGCACUGGAAAAUGGUGUUAAGGGAAGAUAUAUCCUUAGGCCUCUUACCUCUUAGUUUCCAGUAAAAAUAGAAAUCCAAAAAAUAAAAAAAAAGUAUUUCCUUUAAUGACUCACCACCCAGUCUACUACGCUCAUGUGUCUUUUUACUGUCCUCUCCUUCUUCCUGCCUAGCUGAACUAUGCCCUGCACCUCCACACUCAAUCCUAAUUCCUCCUGAAGUCUCAGGAUGUCUAUAUGACUAUCAGCCCUUGUCUUCUAUAUCUUCACUUCUCUGCUCCUCCCUCCAAUGAGCAGUGAACAUACUCAAGAUUUUCACAUGUGAAAAAGAAUAAAACAUCCUCCCUACUGCAUAUUCCACUCCAGCUACCUUUAUUUCUCUUACAUGGGAGAGCCAAGUGUCUUGGAGAAGAUGUUCAACGUUUCUUAUACUUUUCCAUUUCAUUGUAGUCUACUCGCCACAGCUCCAG